UACGGAGGGGGCUAGCGUUGUUCGGAAUUACUGGGCGUAAAGCGCGCGUAGGCGGCUUUGUAAGUUAGAGGUGAAAGCCCGGAGCUCAACUCCGGAAUUGCCUUUAAGACUGCAUCGCUAGAAUCAUGGAGAGGUUAGUGGAAUUCCGAGUGUAGAGGUGAAAUUCGUAGAUAUUCGGAAGAACACCAGUGGCGAAGGCGACUAACUGGACAUGUAUUGACGCUGAGGUGCGAGAGCGUGGGGAGCAAACAGG
rnacentral:rRNA from 1 species